rnacentral:tRNA from 1 species
GGAAAGGUGUCCGAGUGGUUUAUGGUGAUGGUCUUGAAAACCAUUGUACAGAGAUGUACCGGAGGUUCAAAUCCUCUCCUUUCCG